AUGCAGUACCUCGUACAUCUGGUAGCAAGAUUCACGCCAAUGUUGCCAAUGAAAUGGCUGUCAAACUUGGGCAUGAUCCUCAGAGAGAUGAAGUUUAUAUCGAAACACAUACAUGCAAGAAAGGGGAAAGGAAAGGGAGUUAUGUGCCACAGGCAGCAGCAUACAAUUAAAGAACUCAUAGAGAGUGCUAAAAAGCACCCUGAAUGGAAGGACAAAAGCAUUAAAGAAGGUGAUCUAUUUGCACGUGUAUGUGGACUGAAGGAGCCCAGGGGUCGUGUCUGUGUGUUAGGUCUAGAGCUAACACGUCAAGAUUUGGGCACACCGGGUACACGGGGUAAACUGAGCACAAGAGUUCUAGUUGCAAUGGAAGGGCGCUGA
rnacentral:rRNA from 1 species